rnacentral:rRNA from 1 species
CAGCCGCCGCGGGAACACGUAGGUGGCAAGCAUUGUCCGGAAUUAUUGGGCGUAAAGGGCUCGCAGGCGGUUUCUUAAGUCUGAUGUGAAAGCCCCCGGCUCAACCGGGGAGGGUCAUUGGAAACUGGGAAACUUGAGUGCAGAAGAGGAGAGUGGAAUUCCACGUGUAGCGGUGAAAUGCGUAGAGAUGUGGAGGAACACCAGUGGCGAAGGCGACUCUCUGGUCUGUAACUGACGCUGAGGAGCGAAAGCGUGGGGAGCGAACAGGAUUAGAUACCCCUGUAGUCCCUGUCUCUUAUAC